CAGCAGUGGGAAUAUUGCACAAUGGGGGAAACCCUGAUGCAGCCAUGCCGCGUGUGUGAAGAAGGCCUUCGGGGUUGUAAAGCACUUUCAGUAGGGAGGAAGGUAGUGUAGUUAACACCUGCACUAUUUGACGUUACCUACAGAAGAAGCACCGGCUAACUCCGUGCCAGCAGCCGCGGUAAUACGGAGGGUGCGAGCGUUAAUCGGAAUUACUGGGCGUAAAGCGCAUGCAGGCGGCCUGUUAAGUCAGAUGUGAAAGCCCGGGGCUUAACCUCGGAAUUGCAUUUGAAACUGGCAGGCUAGAGUCUUGUAGAGGGGGUAGAAUUUCAGGUGUAGCGGUGAAAUGCGUAGAGAUCUGAAGGAAUACCAGUGGCGAAGGCGGCCCCCUGGACAAAGACUGACGCUCAGAUGCGAAAGCGUGGGGAGCAAACAGGAUUAGAUACCCUGGUAG
rnacentral:rRNA from 1 species